UCUAAGUGCUGGGAUCACAGGCGUGCACCACCAUGCCUGGCUGGAAAACUUGACUUUUUUGAAAGAUGAUUCUGAGUACUGAACCAAAUCUGUCUUCCUGGACUGUCCUGGAGUUACCAGACUAGCAAUUUCUGAGGUGGAAUGUAUGGCAGGAUGCAUAAGGCCAUCUUGGGAGUAUCUGUGCCUGCGCGGAGCUGCUGGGCUGAUGCGGGACACCGAGCGCCCGAAAAGGAAGACGGACACGCACGGUGGAGGAGAGCGGGAGAGGAGGGAGCAGCCAAGGAAGACAGGGCGUGGGGAGUGGGGCCUGCACACCUUCCGUCUCCGGGAAAGGAGCUACCUUCCCCGCUCGGGCCGUGGACCGGGCUGGAUUUGGGUCUGGGAGCAGAGCUGGCAGCCACUGCUGUGCAUCUGGCUGGCUGGGAGCGGGGGAAAUGUUUCCACCGAAGACCGACCGGGGCCAGGGUAAGUGAAGAAGGCUGCAAUGUGGCCGUGAUUGAGCAACGACAGCUAAGAAUGCGGAGAAUGAGAGGUCUCCGGGGAGAGCACAAAGGCCAGAGCCUUUGUCUGAUGUGUGGAAAGGGCUCAAAAGUAUCUUGACUACCACAUGAAAAAGUAUGGUUUCCAGGCGUCCACCCUGAAUUUUACUCAUGGCUGCAUUGAAAACUCAAACCGUUAUUAACCUUGUGCGUGAUAAACAGCAGGGCAGGGCAGGCCCAGGUGAAUGAAUGUGAAACAGCACUGGGCUCUGCUGGGCUUAGUUCUGUCUCUCACCCUUGAACUGAAGACGCUUAACUAAAAGGGUGGCAAAAGGAGGAGGAGAUGGCAGGAAUUUCCUAGAUUUAUAUGGACAAUUUCCCUGGAAAUUGAACCUGUGGAGAUCAGAUGGGAGGAAUGAGGACUAAUCGGCCUCCUGGUGAGCACGGAGGAGGAGGAGAGAGGGUCCCUGCAAGCUGCUGACACCUGACGGGAAAAGUAAAACACCUGAGGAGCCCCUCCCAAUGUUGACCGAAGUCAUAGCAGUGCUGCAACUCAGAUCCUGAAGGUCGGAAGCUUAAGGAAAUGAGACAGCAGGGUGCAGCACAUCAUCGUGGGGAUGAAGUGACAGGAGUCUGGCUUCACCACUCAGGUACGAACUUGAGUAAUGACCUGGCCACCUCCACCCUUGGGUACCCAAUGGACACCGGAGUAACUUCUUCCCCUGGUGGUGAGGAUCGUGUGAAAUGCCAGCCCAGGGCUCCGAAACAGAAGCUGCAGUCGCCGUGGACUUGGGCUUCUUGGCUUCCCUGUUUGCUCGGGACGGUGUGCAAAGCGCUGGGCAGAACUCACUGUUGCUCGCACGCUACAGUAAUUUGGGACACAGUGACUGUCUGUCCACAUACAUGUAACUCUUGUGGCCUCAUAAACAGGCCCUAAGUUUAUCGAAAGACCGUUCUGGAACAUCCUGUCCUCCUGUGGACACCUGGCUCCUGUGGACCGAAGAUAGAGGCAGAACCGGGAUCCCAGAGAGCAGCUUCCUGGGGCAUCCUGGUGGAAGUGUGGCCGUGGAGAGCAGCAAGCCCAGUUGUACUCCUAGACCUGAAGCAGAAAGGAGCUAUCUCUACGGACACAGAGCCUGUUGUUGUAAUCAGCCACCAACCUGCUGUGCAGGGUGCAGCCGCACUUCCGGUCCUACUAUAACCUGGCCCUUGCUGACCGACCCGUCCGCAGCCUGGCCCGGUGUCCCCAGCCCGUGGACGCCACCGCCCGCUGCUCUCAGCUCCUUUGACAUCGGCUUCUUCAGAUCCGCGGAUGGCGUUCCGCGGCCCUUACCUUCCAGGGCUUGGCUUAUGGCGAGUUCUGAUCUCGUGAGAGGGACAGCUGACACUGAAGGAAGAUUUUAAAAUGAGACAGCUGUGUGGCCUAGAGACGUGACCCCGUGGCCUGGGAGGAGGAUGUGCCUGUCUGAAGAGUGGCGAUAAACCCGGCGUGGGUACCACGGGAGUUGCAUGCCUGUCCUCUAUCAGUGCCGCAACACAGAACCAGGCUGGCGUGCUGCCUGCGAAUGACUCCGGGAAGGCUGCGGAGAGCUCUGCCCCUUCCUCUUAAAUUCAGACAAGCAAAGAGUAUUUUGCUAUUAAAAGAGUUAUGUGAUUAAAACACUGCAGCUGGCCGGAGCUCCACGGCAAGACCCUGUCUCAACCCCACAACUGCAAACAAAACAACAAAACACAAAACCACAGCAACAUCUAAAAUGGUGCCCAUAGGACUUAUGCUACGGAUGGUCAUGUUUUGGUUCUUCUCUGGUCCGGAAGUGUCUCAUUUGGAAGUGAAAGAAGGAAAAACCAAGGUGCCAUCUGUCCCUGGGAAAUCCCACCUACUGCUUGAGGUCAAGCUGGCUGCUGCUGAUCACCUCAACCUCUGGACUCGGGCAGCUGCUGCUCAUACCUGGACUUUCUUGUCUGUGCACAAAUAGAUUUCUGGCAGUUAGAGGAUGGGAAUGGGAAAAGAAGGCAUUUUUGCAUUUUGGUGCCUCAGACUCAAAGGUAAAAGGUACAUAUAAUCUCACACAAUGCAUCCACUGAGCAAAACCUUUGUGGUAUAACAGAGACUGCCUUUAGGAAGCUCCCAGUGACAUUUACCUCAGGGGUAGCAAUAAUCUGGUUAGGGAGAACCACCUGGGUAGUCGAAUAAUUGAUCCCAUUCCCAAGACCCCAUGGAAUUAUAAAAUCUAAUCUCCCUUCUUAGAAGCCCAACCUAAAUCACACAGGAUAUUAGUGUUUGGGUACAUCAAGACACCCCUAACUUGUCUUUUCAUUUUGGUUUGCCUUUUGACAGGACAUUGCAGAUCCACUUUGGGCCACAGGCGAUAACACGAAGUCUGGAUGUGCCCCUAAAUCGCUGGAGGCUCUGCAGCAAAAAGAAAAGCUGCUAAAUCUAUAGCCAACCGAGAGCCUGCCAGGAGUGGGCAGGAAGCUACAGAAUUAGGUGAGUAUGAUUUUAUUUUUUAUUUUUGUUUUGGUACCAGGGAUGAACUGUGGACCUUGCACUUGCGAGGCAGGUGAGGCAGGUGCGGCACCACUACAUCCCCAGCUCUUCCCCAUACAAUAAGGCUGCAGGAAUAAAUGGCUGAAAGGGCCCCAGAUUAUAGACCACAGAUAAAAAUAAGCAGAUUUUUUUGGGGGAGGGUACCAGGGAUUGAACUCAGGUCCCUGCACUUGCAAGGCAGGCAGUAGAACCACUGAGCUAAAUCCCCCACCCAAGCAGAUUAUUUUCUUAGAAGAUAUUAAUUAAAGAUUCAUAGGAAGUCACCGAAGGACCAGUUCCCUAGCAUUUUUCUAGUUCUAAGGUAUUUUGCAU